UGUUCCAUAUGCUACAGUGGCACGCUUCCAGUGGCACCAAAGUUACAUAGGCGCAAUUCCAGAGGGUAGUUUGCAUUUGUGGCACUAAGAAUCUUGCUGUUCCAUAGGCUACAUUGGCACGAUUCCGGAGGCUACAGUGGUGCGAUUCCAGUGGCUACAGUGGCUCUCUUCAGGGGCAGGCUCGGGGGGAUGGGGGGUGGUUUCAUAUGCUAAACAGGCACUUCUUGGUACCACUGGGGGGUUACUGUUACUAUGUUUACAGUGGCACCAUUCCAUAGGUUACACAGGUGCUUUUCCAACAGUUACUUAGGCACUUUCAACGUAUAGGCACAUGACAUGGUUCCAGUUACAGAGGUGCAAGUCCAGUGGUUACAUAGGCGUGAUUCCAGUGGUUACAGAGGUGCUAUUCCAGAUGUUACACCGGUACCAUUCCAAGUGUUACUGUCUCUCUGUCUCUGUCUCUCUCUCCUCGUAAAGGCACUGGUUAAGGUCCACAGGCUACAGUGUCACAUUCCAAAGGUAACACUGGUACCUCUAACGAAGGGGGGGCGAGGGGGGCACUGGGGGGGCGGAGGGGGGGGCGUUUUGGGGGGUGAUAUUAGGGUAAGUGGUACCAGUGUUCAUGGGUAAAUGGGACCAGUGGAAUAGUUCAACCUGGCACCUCUGUACGUGGGUAAAGAAGGCGUUGAUAGGUAAGUGGGUAAGUCUGGCACCUGUGUAUGGGUAAAUGGGAAAGUCUGGCACCUGUGUAUGGGUAAAUGGGUAACCUUGGCACCUGUAUAUGGGUAAGUGGGUAAAUUUGGCACCUAUGUAAGGGUAAAUGGGUAAGUUUGGCACCUGUGUAAGGGUAAAUGGGUAACCUGGCACCUCUGUAUGGGUAAAUGGGUAAAUUUGGCACCUGUGUAUGGGUAAAUAGGUAAGAAUGGUACCUGUGUAUGGGUAAAUGGGUAACCUGGCACCGGUAUAUGGGUAAAUGGGUAAUCUAGCACCUCUGUAUGGGUAAGUUUGGUACCUGUGUAUGGGUAAAUGGGUAACCUGGCACCUGUGUAUGGGUAAAUGGGUAACCUAGCACCUGUGUAUGGGUAACAAGGUAUCUUUGUGGGUAAGUUUAGGUAAGUUUUGACACUACAGCAUGACUAAGGGAGGUAGUGAUGGGUAAAUGGGUAAGGAAGACCACUUUUUUGGGUAACAGGUAUUUUUGGCACAACUGUAAGGUAGGGAGGCAGUAAUGGGUAAAUGGGUAAGUGGGGAUAUAGGUAAGGGAGCUAUAUAUGGGUAAUAGGUAAGUGUUUGUAGGUGUUUAGUGUACAUGGGUAAGGAGGAACUGCUGGCUCAGGAUGACUUAGGUAAAUGGGUAAAUGGAGACACUGUUUAGGUAAAUCUGUAAGGGAGGAGCUAGUGGGUAUGGGUAAUGUGGGUAAAUGGGUAAAGGGAGGCACUGUUGUUUAGGUAAAUCUGUAAGGGAGGAGCUAGUGGGUAUGGGUAAUGUGGGUAAAUGGGUAAAAUGGCACCAGUGUUUAGGUAAAUGGGUAAGGGAAGGCACUAUUGUUUAGGUAAAUCUGCUAAGGGGAGGAACUAGUGGGUAUGGGUAACGUGGGUAAAUGGGUAGAAUGGCACCAGUAUUUAGGUAAGUGGGUAAGGAAAACACUAUGGGUAAGACGCACUGCUGGGUAUGGGUAACUUGAGUAAAUGGGCGUCACUUCUCGGUAUGGGUCACUAAGGUAAAUGAGUAAGUGGGCACCAGUGUUUGGGUAAAUGGGUAAGGGAGGCACCCAUGGGAGAGUAAGGUACCACUGUGUAUAGGUAAUGGGUAAAGACGCACUUCUGGGUAUGGGUCACUAAGGUAAAUGGGUAAGUGUUAAGGUAAAUGGCUUAGGGAGGCACCAAUGUUUAGGUAAAUAGGUAACCAAGGUACCACUGUGUAUAGGUAAUGGGUAAAGACGCACUUCUGGGUAUGGGUCACUAAGGUAAAUGGGUAAGUGUUUGGGUAAAUGGGUAAGGUAAGUAAUUAUGGGUAAAUGAACUGCCACUGUGUAUAGGUGAUAGGUAAAGACGCACUUCUGGGUAGGUGUCACUAAGGUAAAUGGGUAAGUGUUUCAGGUAAAUGGGUAAGUGUUUAAGGUAAAUGGGUAAGGACGGCACUGAUGGGUAAGGGAGCACCACUGUGUAUAGGGCCGCGGUACGGGCUUGUCUGACAGAGUGCCAAGCUGCUAGCCCUACCCUACCCCCCCUACCCUACCCUACCCUACCCAAGACUCCCUCCCUGACUCUCCUCUCUCUCUCUCUCUCUCUCUCUCUCUCUCUCUCUCUCUCUCUCUCUCUCUCUCUCUCUCU